rnacentral:rRNA from 1 species
AUUGAACGCUGGCGGCAGGCCUAACACAUGCAAGUCGAGCGGUUGACGGGAGCUUGCUCCCUGAUCCAGCGGCGGACGGGUGAGUAAUGCCUAGGAAUCUGCCUAUUAGUGGGGGACAACGUUUCGAAAGGAACGCUAAUACCGCAUACGUCCUACGGGAGAAAGCAGGGGACCUUCGGGCCUUGCGCUAAUAGAUGAGCCUAGGUCGGGUUAGCUUGUUGGUGAGGUAAUGGCUCACCAAGGCGACGAUCCGUAACUGGUCUGAGAGGAUGAUCAGUCACACUGGAACUGAGACACGGUCCAGACUCCUACGGGAGGCAGCAGUGGGGAAUAUUGGACAAUGGGCGAAAGCCUGAUCCAGCCAUGCCGCGUGUGUGAAGAAGGUCUUCGGAUUGUAAAGCACUUUAAGUUGGGAGGAAGGGUUGUAGAUUAAUACUCUGCAAUUUUGACGUUACCGACAGAAUAAGCACCGGCUAACUCUGUGCCAGCCGCCGCCGUAAGAC